rnacentral:rRNA from 1 species
AGUGAACGCUGGCGGUAGGCCUAACACAUGCAAGUCGAACGGCAGCACAGUAAGAGCUUGCUCUUACGGGUGGCGAGUGGCGGACGGGUGAGGAAUACAUCGGAAUCUACUUUUUCGUGGGGGAUAACGUAGGGAAACUUACGCUAAUACCGCAUACGACCUACGGGUGAAAGCAGGGGAUCUUCGGACCUUGCGCGAUUGAAUGCGCCGAUGUCGGAUUAGCUAGUUGGCGGGGUAAAGGCCCACCAAGGCGACGAUCCGUAGCUGGUCUGAGAGGAUGAUCAGCGACACUGGAGCUGAGACACGGUCCAGACUCCUACGGGAGGCAGCAGUGGGGAAUAUUGGACAAUGGGCGCAAGCCUGAUCCAGCCAUACCGCGUGGGUGAAGAAGGCCUUCGGGUUGUAAAGCCCUUUUGUUGGGAAAGAAAAGCAGCAGGUUAAUACCCCGCUGUUCUGACGGUACCCAAAGAAUAAGCACCGGCUAACUUCGUG